UUUUUUUUUUUGGUGUGUGUUGUUUUCUUAGGACUAUCCAAACUGAACUCUGUCUCAUUGUGCCUACCUCACAGCUAUAUUUGCUAAUAUUUACUUUUCAUUAUUUCAGGAUGCUCUAUGUUUUAUUUUACUGACUCCAGCAAUAUAUUUCAAGAAUAUGAUCUUUAAGACCCACCCCCACAAGAAAUCACAGUUUUUCCUUAUAUUGUCCAAACAUAUUUUUUAUUUCUUCAGAAAUUCAAUUCUAGACAGUCCUUCUUUUGCAGCUAGCACAUAGAUAUGCCAUAAGACAUCAAGGUAGGAAAAAAAUACAUAUUGAAAAAAAAAGUUCACAGAACUCACACAUACCUUUUGGCCUCAGGCUACCUUUGAUUUUUAAUAGUGGACGUGUAGCAACAAGGGGCUUUAGUUUCUUUUCUCCUUUGAAUUUUGCCUUUUAAACAUCCGCCUGUACUGCCUGGAAUACUUAAACCCUUCUGGCUGCUGGCUGGAUGAAAAACACACUUCUUCCUUUAUUUGUGCCAUUCUGGAGUCCAAGAGCCGGUUUCCAUGACUUCAGCACUUCUCUUAUUUCUAUAUUCCUGUUACAGCUAGUGAUAAAAUUUGCAUUGAUUUCAGAGAUAGAUUUCAACCAAAACUGUGUACCUUUGAAAAUGCCACUCUGGCUGCUUGAAGACAUUAAUCAGAAUUUAUUUACAUAGUCUCUUUAGAGAUGUGACGAUUCUGCUAUGAAAUUGUCACGUUAGGCUGGUUACUGAAUAACAGUUAAAUAUAUUUAACAAUAUCCAAUAGGAUAUAUGAGGCAGUGAAUUUGGUUAACUGUUCUAAAAUUAAAUUAUUUUUCAGUUACCUUUUUUUUCUGUUACUGACCUUGCAGAAGGAAAGCAAAAAGUAUCAAGAAAUAUAAAACUUCUACUGAUUUUUUAAAGAAUCUGUACGGCAAGACUCAUUCCAAUGUAGUGGAAAUUCACUUAAGAAUUAUGAAUAGGAAUGCAAGAAAUUUACCUGAAAUAUGAAAUUAUAUAGCUUUGAUUACAUUACACAAAUAAUACUAUGAAGACAAAACCAAAACAUAGUAGCAGUUUCAAACAGGGUGUAAUUGACAAUUGGAGUUGUUCUGGACAGACCUGUAAGAAUACAACAAAAUAUUUAGGGAGAACCAGAGCUCACUGUCAGUCAAAGAGUAGGGUGAAUAGAAGAGUAAAAAUAAAGAUAAUAUACUAAAAAGGCUGAAGUAGUUACAAACAAGCUGAUUACUUGCUUUAUAGCUCAAGGUCAUCUAUCCCUGUCUCGUCUCAAUGAGAUUAUUAUUGACUUUUCAAAACCCAUAAUUUUGAACUGUUCUCAGCACAACUUAAUAUUGUACACACUUCUGGGGAAGCUUAGAUUUCUAAUCUGAUUGCAGUUGUGCUUUAUGCAGUACUAGUCUUUUAACUUCAGACACUAGGCUCACAGAUUGCUUCAGUUUUGAGGCCGAUGUAAAGCCGUUCUUUCUAAAAUAGAGAAAAGAUAGAAAAAAAAUAAUUCUAGACUCAGCACUUGUGUUUGGAUCUUGACAGUUUCAAUAGUUCUGCGAAUACCCAAGCACAUACUUGCACAGGUCCCCAUCCCUUACAUAAAGUAAUAACUGCUUCAGAUUAAGGUGUUUCAUGUGACAGAAUCCAUGCAUAUGAAACACCAGGUCACAUGAAUGUCACUGACUAUUAGUCUAGGCACUCAAUCAACUUACAUGCUGCUUUCAGUAUGCUUCAGAAGGGAGUGACAAACAUGCUAAAUUUAAGAGAAGCACUGCUCAUCCUUAUGAUAAAUAUGACUUAUUUGUGUAAAAAAAAAAAUAAUAAUUUGCUGGAAAGAAUAUCCUUUUUCUAAUGCUCACAGGUUUUUUUGAUUGUCCAGUAUAAUUCAACAUAGAUACACUGUACUUUGUUUACUGACUAAUGUCCAAGCAAGAGUGCAUUUUGAAAACUCUGCUCAUUUAGAUGUCUUAUUUAGACACCUUAAAAUUAUUUUAUCUUGAAAUAUAACAGUCAUGGACUUCACAUAAAGCUAAGUCCGUGGGUUGGUUUUUUCCUUCAUGGAAAAUUGUAGGUGUAGAUAAGUCUUUGCACAUAUUUGUUCCACAAGUAUUUGUGAACAGAUGGUAAACCGUUGGCAUUGGUAAAGAUCUGGACAGGCAUUAAUAACAAGGAUAAUAAAGUGGUUUUCUAAAGAAAAUUUUAGCACUUAGCCCUGAAAAGGUCCAGUGUUCCUGAGCGUGACUAAACAAUAUGGCAGAGAAAGACUACUGGCUACUUUUCUCUAGAAGAUGAUAGUGUAGCCUAUUUUUACUAAUUAAAAAAAAAACCAAACAAACACAACUUUCUCAGAAAAGCAACAUACUUCUCAUUUGCUCAUCCAGUAAAGGAUGAGAAGAGUGAGCCAGAGAUGGAAUCUGCUUAAAUGGUAUGUGAAGUACCCUGCUGAGCUGAUCUUAAAGAGUUAUGUUAUGGGUCUUGUGAUCCAGAAAUUGAUUUGGUUUGCUAAUGUCAAGUGCUUGAUCUGCAGUCUUCCCAUCAUACUCAGGAAGUAACUUUCUGGUAGCUACCCUCUACUUUACAUAUAUUUAUCAGAGGGCAUUAAAAUACUACUGUCUCCUUAAGUCUCCAGACUGCAGGAAAUCACAAAGCUAAUUGCCCUAUCCAUCUAUUUCUCAUGCUUUGCUUUUGAAAUGGCUAGGUUUUGAUAUAUUAUGUCACCAUUUUAUGCAUGAAGAGUCAUAAGCUGUCAAUGUAUUCACCCUACACAGUGGAAAAACACUCUCAAAAACUAUCAGAACCAAAACCAGUCAAAACUCAGAGCUAGAAAAAUUAUUUUAGAGAAGUGCACAAACAAAACAAAAACAAAGGGCUGCAGCUUUCUUGCUAAAGUUCAAAAUCAAUUUUAUAUCAUUCAUUUGUUAUUAUAUUUUAUGUUUCAUACUUGUACAGGCCACAGGAGUUUUAAAUAUCUUAUUGACAAAGAGCUCUGGGACUUGAAAAGUAAAAAUAAAACAUACAGAGACAAAAUAAAAUGGAGAUAUAUUCUGUUCAAGUCUUCACAGAACAGCAUUUCAAUUUCUGUUAUUAAGGCUCUUAUUUUCUCUUAAGAAGACAACUGAAUUGAGAAUAACUUAGCAAAAAGAAGCAGAAAUGAUUCACAAUAAUGGUAGCUGACAGUAGCAGCAAACAAUUCAAGCAGCGAAAAGUACAAAAAAAGGAACAUGUCAUGGAAUAUACUGGAGUAUUAUUGCUUUGCUGCAAAAGAGUACAUUUUUUGAUAGAGAGAUGCAAGAGAGUUUAGUUAAAUUCUGCAAGCCAUUUGUGAACAAUUUUCUUUGAAACUGUUUCUAUUAACUUCCUCAACAGGGAAUACAAAACACUUUUCUCUGCUAAUAUUGCUUUUCAUUUGUCCACUUAAUAUUACUUAGCCCUUACAAGAUAAGACGUUGCUUGCACAGUGAGUCUUAAGUACAAUUUAAAAAAGAGAGCACUGCAGAAUUCUAAAUAUUAGGAGCCAUGGGAAGCUGUGUCUAUUCUGCAAAGAUAUAUGUGCAAUAAACUGAGGUUUGCACCAACUCCGAUUCCUAACCAUUGUGUCACGAUCUUCUCAAGACACUUAAGUUCUAAUAAACAUUUAAGUCAAUAGGUGCAAUUAAAUAUGCAUAAUACACAAGCUAUAGUAAUUUGCAUAAGGCUUCUAGGAAUGUGUUAUGAUCUAAAGAAUACACUUUGAGUAAGCAUCUUUGAGCAUAACGUUGUAUUUUGAUGAAUGCAAGUAGGAAACUGAUGUGCAUCCAUUUACAAUUUGAUCUAAUUUAACUUUGCAGAAGUUAAUUAACUUUUCUGUUACACUAGACUCUAAAAGUCCAAUUUUUGUCACCACUG
ensembl:lncRNA